AUGGAGCCAAACAUGAAUCCUCAGUUGAUAGGACUGGAUGGACUUCUCAAGAGACCUAGCAUCAAAAUCAGAUGUGUACUGUGCAUGGCCAUCGCUAAUUCAUAUGAUGCAGAGCAGGAUGCCUUUAUCAUCAACGGGAGACCAUGUAGGAUCACACUAGAAGAUGUAGCGCAUAUAACAGGCAUGCCCUGCCAUGGGAAGAAGCACGUCCCUUCAAAUCUUGAUGAUAGUAUGGAGUUGUGGAAGAAACUGAAAGACCGUAAUGACACCAAAAUAACUUUCAAAGGAUUGCUAGACAAGAUGAAAGGCGACAACACACCAAUUUUUGUCAGGCCAUUUGUCUUGUACACCAUAGGCAAAUAUGUAUGCCGAACAAAAGAGGAGUAUGUGGAUAACAAAUAUGUUGGGAUUGUUAACAACGUUGAGACGAUAAAGGGCACAAAUCUUGGACAGCUGACGCUUGACUAUUUUAUGGAUAGCGUGAAGAAUUUUGUAAAUGGUGAGGCAAUUCUGGAGGGGAAUCUACCAUUGCUGCAGACAUGGUACUAUGAGAAGUUCAGAGUGCACCAAUUGGACUCUAGCAUCUCGUAUGAAUCAAGGUUAAGGCCGCUGAUCCAGAACUGGAGCGAGGAGAAGGCAAAAAAGUAUGUUGAGCACCUGAUGAGGCCUUUCAUUCCAGCACGAGAUGGUACACUGGCCAAACCGAAGACUGGCGCUCAGAUUAAGGUACUCGUCGGAUGUGUAUUGGUUGAUUUGCAAGAAGUUGCCUCCCUUGUGCGGGAGGCUGGUGCAGAACAAGUUGAUAGGAUGUGCACCCUUGAAAAGAAAAUGGAUGAGUGCCUUAGGCGUACCCAUACAAAUGGCAAGCUCACAGAGGACCUCAUCAAAGAAUUGAACGACUGGAGGACAUACAUCUUUCUGACCUCGGGGCACCUUCACACCCAAUGGAGGCCUCUGUUGAGAAUGUUGAGCAGGCUUCUGACCAGGGGAAACAAAAUGAUGUCACGGAGGUCGUUGCUAAGUACCAUUAAAUAA
rnacentral:rRNA from 1 species